rnacentral:rRNA from 1 species
GUGCAGCAGCCGCGGUAAUACGUAGGGGGCAAGCGUUGUCCGGAUUUACUGGGUGUAAAGGGCGCGUAGGCGGGUUUGUUAGUCAGAGGUGAAAUCCUGCGGCUUAACCGUAGAACUGCCUUUGAUACUGCAGAUCUUGAGUAUGGAAGAGAGAGACGGAAUUCCAGGUGUAGUGGUGAAAUACGUAGAUAUCUGGAAGAACACCAGUGGCGAAGGCGGUCUCUUGGUCCGAAACUGACGCUGAGGCGCGAAAGCGUGGGGAGCAAACAGGAUUAGAUA